rnacentral:lncRNA from 1 species
AUUGACAUGUCUGAGAUAUCUUCCUAGACAUUAAUGGUCUGAAAGCAUUGGAACAUAUCUUGUACUGUGGAUUCUUUAUUAAAUAAUAUAAUAUUAUAUUGUGAUAUUUUGUGAGUAUAGGUGGAUGUAGUCGAAAUAGUUAUGACGUCUUGAAAGGCUAUUAUACUUGUUUGCUUUGACAAUUUAGUCGCUGUAAAGCGUCACAGCAAAAAAAUAGAAUAAUAGCCUUUCAAGACGUCAUAAUUAUUUGGACUAAGAUGGACAAAGAAAUUAAACUUGACAAAAUACAAAUUUCAAUUAGUUUGUUUUUGUGCAGAACAUGUCAAAACUACUAAAUCAAUAAUUCUUUAUAAUGCAAAUUUUUUUUUCGUCGAAGAAAAUUGACACUCA